GCUUACCCAAGGUCAGCUCACCAGCCUAUGUAGGGAAACCUAGAUUUCUCUCUGCCCAGCCACCUCUUCCAGCUCAUCCAGGGGGAUCCUGAA